rnacentral:rRNA from 1 species
ACAGUCUAUCUCCUAGCCUACUCACUUAACCGCAAAAAUUAUGAAAAUCUCAACCAAAACCAAUUAAAACAUUUUUUAUCUUUAGUAUACGUGAAAAAAAAAGAAACCAGAGCUAUAACUUUAGUACCGCAAGGGAAAGGUGAAAUAAUAAUGAAAUAAAUCUCAACAUAAAAAAGCAAAGAUUAAAUCUUGUACCUUUUGCAUCAUGGCCUAACAAGUCUAACCAGGCAAAAUGAAUUCUAGUCUGACUUCCCGAAACUAAGUGAGCUACUCCGAAGCACCUUAAUAACCCGUCUCUGUGGCAAAAGAGUGGGGAGACUUCCGAGUAGAGGCGAAAAACCUACCGAACUUAGUGAUAGCUGGUUGCUCAGGAAAAGAAUUUUAGUUCUGUCUUAAAAAUUAAAGCACUUAAAGCAUAUUUUUAAGAAUUAUUCAAUUAGGGUACAGCCUAAUUGAAAUAGGAUACAGCCUAAAUCUUAGGAUAAUGAUUAAAUCUAAAGAAGUCAAAGGCUAAGUUGGCUUAAAAGCAGCCAUCUUUUAAAAAGCGUCAAAGCUUCACCUUAAGUAAACUUUUAUUUUAUUAAUUUUUCAAAAUCCAAUAUUACUACUGAGCUGUUCUAUAUUAUUAUAGAAAUAUUAAUGUUAGGACUAGUAACAUAGAAUUUUUUCUCUUCCAUGUAAGUAUAAAUCAGUUCGGAUACCCCACUGAUAAUUACCCAGAUUUGAGUUUAAAGUAAUUUAUAACCCAUGAAAAUACUACUUCAUCUUCUGUUAACCUAACACAAGGACAUGUAAGAAAGAUUAAAAGACCAAGAAGGAACUCGGCAAACAUAAGUCCCGCCUGUUUACCAAAAACAUCGCCUUUUGAAAAUCAUAAAAGGUAACGCCUGCCCAGUGACAUAGUUUAACGGCCGCGGUAUCCUGACCGUGCGAAGGUAGCGUAAUCAUUUGUCUUUUAAAUAAAGACCUGUAUGAAUGGCAUCACGAGGACUUAACUGUCUCCUUGGUCCUGUCAGUGAAACUGAUCUUUCCGUGCAAAAGCGGAAAUAUAAUCAUAAGACGAGAAGACCCUAUGGAGCUUAAAACUUUAAUCUAGCUUUACUUUCCUAAUAAAUUAAUUAUUACCAUAUUUGUGUAGACUUAGCUAAAGUUUUCAGUUGGGGUGACUGUGGAGAAAAACAAAUCCUCCAUGAAGAAAUAAGCUUUGAGCUACUACUCUAAACAUUAGCAAGGCUAACUUUAAUUGAUCCAAUAAUUUUGAUCAACGGACCAAGUUACCCUAGGGAUAACAGCGCAAUCCAUUUCAAGAGUCCAUAUCGACAAAUGGGUUUACGACCUCGAUGUUGGAUUAGGACAUCCUAGUGGUGCAGCCGCUACUAAU